AGCUGAUCCCAGCACGCCGCGUGAGGGAUGACGGCCUUCGGGUUGUAAACCUCUUUCAGUAGGGACGAAGCGCAGUGACGGUACCUACAGAAGAAGCACCGGCCAACUACGUGCCAGCAGCCGCGGUAAUACGUAGGGUGCGAGCGUUGUCCGGAAUUAUUGGGCGUAAAGGGCUCGUAGGCGGUUUGUCGCGUCGGGAGUGAAAACACUGGGCUUAACUCAGUGCUUGCUUCCGAUACGGGCAGACUAGAGGUAUUCAGGGGAGAACGGAAUUCCUGGUGUAGCGGUGAAAUGCGCAGAUAUCAGGAGGAACACCGGUGGCGAAGGCGGUUCUCUGGGAAUUACCUGACGCUGAGGAGCGAAAGUGUGGGGAGCGAACAGGAUUAGAUACCCUGGUAGUCCACACCGUAAACGUUGGGCGCUAGGUGUGGGGUCCAUUCCACGGAUUCCGUGCCGCAGCUAACGCAUUAAGCGCCCCGCCUGGGGAGUACGGCCGCAAGGCUAAAACUCA
rnacentral:rRNA from 1 species